UGGGUCUUUUUUUGUGGAUAUUUUGCAGAAGAGAGAUGGCUUUGAAAAGUGGGUGGGAUGCAACUGUGUUUGGUGGGGUGGAAAAGCUGUGUUAAGAAGAAAGGAGGAAGCUAGUUUUUGGAAGCUGUGAGGGUCUCGGGUUUUGCAGGAGAGAGAGAGCUGGGUGAGAGGAAAAAUGUAAUACUGAUACGGGCUGUGUCUUUCUCUGCUGCUGAUAUUUUGAGGCUUUUAGGUGUCUCUCUGCUGGGUUGGAAGGAGGCUCUCUCUUUUGGGGCAGCUGGAGGGUUCAGUUUUUCUUAGCGAGUAUUGAUGGAGGGUUUGGAGAUUUGUUCUUGGACAGCUGACUGUAUGGCUCUGGGGCGGAUUUAGGAAGUGCGUGGAGAUAUCUCUGGGAUUAGUGGGCUUCUUGGGCUGCAACCACUCCUCCACUUUUGAAACCCCUCCAAUUCUCUCCAUUCUGACAUUCUGCCUUUUCACUCUCGAGAACAAGAGAAGACUGAAGCUCUCUCCCCUUUUGUACUGCGUCAGGCAUCAAGAAGCCCUUCUGCCACUCUCAAUCCUCGCAGUCCGUGGGGUGCUUUGUCUGGUCAAGGGCACCUAGAGUUGUUCUCUUACAUUAAAGGCCUCCCCUGCUUCAAAUCCAAUCAGUAGAUGUUUUCAUCAUCCUUGAUGAACUCAUGUUAAUACAAUGACCCCUAUUCCAUCCAUAUUUCAUAUUUCUUGGAGCAAAUGCUUCUACUUUUAUGUAGGCUUUUCAGAUUUCAUAAGCAAAUGUGAGACUCACUUAGGUAGUAAAAAUGAGAGUUAAGAGUUAUAGUGGAGGCAUAAAAGCAUCGCCUUAGUAUUGUCAAAACACUUAUUGGUGAUCCAAAGUUAGAUCAUUUUAGAUGAAUUAGUAUGCAGAUUAAGACUUCUUCUUGUGCAAGUUUCUAUAUUUUAUUUGUUUUAUAAUUUAUAUAGAAUUUCUUUUGAUUUUUAGAUAAUUGAUAUGGACCCAAUAACAAGAAAGCAUGUGUGGGACAUGAUAGAGAAUGCAAAUAAAAGGUUGCUAUUGAGUGUGAU